GUGCCCGUAGCUUAAUGGAUAGAGCAGUGGCUUCCGGAGCCAAAGAUUGGAGGUUCGAAUCCUCUCGGGCACGCCA
rnacentral:tRNA from 1 species